AUUGAACGCUGGCGGAAUGCUUUACACAUGCAAGUCGAACGGUAGAGGGGGCAACCCCUCGAGAGUGGCGAACGGGUGAGUAAUAUAUCGGAACGUGCCCAGUCGUGGGGGAUAACGUAGCGAAAGUUACGCUAAUACCGCAUACGAUCUAAGGAUGAAAGCGGGGGAUCGCAAGACCUCGCGCGAUUGGAGCGGCCGAUAUCAGAUUAGGUAGUUGGUGGGGUAAAGGCUCACCAAGCCAACGAUCUGUAGCUGGUCUGAGAGGACGACCAGCCACACUGGAACUGAGACACGGUCCAGACUCCUACGGGAGGCAGCAGUGGGGAAUUUUGGACAAUGGACGCAAGUCUGAUCCAGCCAUUCCGCGUGCAGGAUGAAGGCCCUCGGGUUGUAAACUGCUUUUGUACGGAACGAAAAGGUCUCUCUUAAUACGGGGGGCUCAUGACGGUGCCGUAAGAAUAAGCACCGGCUAACUACGUGCCAGCCGCCGCCGUAA
rnacentral:rRNA from 1 species